rnacentral:rRNA from 1 species
UUUAUGGAGAGUUUGAUCCUGGCUCAGGAUAAACGCUGGCGGCAUGCCUAAUACAUGCAAGUCGCGCGCCCUGCACAUUGUGCUACUCAUCUGACUAGAUCAGAUAUAAGAGGAGCGUAGUGUGCAGGGAGCGGCGGACGGGUGCGUAACACGUUAGUAUCUGCCCCAAACUGAGGGAUAAGUCCGGGAAACCGGGUCUAAUACCGCAUAUGAUCUUCGGAUUAAAGCCUUCGGGCGGUUUGGGAGGAGCUUGCGUCUGAUUAGCUUGUUGGUGAGGUAAUGGCUCACCAAGGCUACGAUCAGUAGCUGGUCUGAGAGGAUGAUCAGCCACACUGGGACUGAGACACGGCCCAGACUCCUACGGGAGGCAGCAGUAGGGAAUCUUCCACAAUGGACGAAAGUCUGAUGGAGCAAUGCCGCGUGCAGGAUGAAUGCCUUCGGGUUGUAAACUGCUUUUAUGGGGGAGGAAUAUGACAGUACCCCAUGAAUAAGCUUCGGCUAACUCCGUGCCAGCAGCCGCGGUCAUACGGAGGAAGCAAGCGUUAUCCGGAAUUAUUGGGCGUAAAGAGAUGCGUAGGUGGUUCACCAAGCAAAGCAUGAAAUCAUGAGGCUCAACCUCAUGACUGUGCUUUGAACUGAUGAACUUGAGCAUGAUAGAGGUAACUGGAAUUCCUUGUGUAGGAGUGAAAUCCGUAGAUAUAAGGAGGAACACCAAUGGCGAAGGCAGGUUACUGGAUCAUUGCUGACACUGAGGCUCGAAAGCGUGGGGAGCGAACGGGAUUAGAUACCCCGGUAGUCCACGCCGUAAACGAUGAACACUAGCUGUUUGGAGGUAUCGACCCCUUCAGAAGCGAAGCUAACGCGUUAAGUGUUCCGCCUGAGUAGUACGAUCGCAAGAUUAAAACUCAAAGGAAUAGACGGGGACCCGCACAAGCGGUGGAGCGUGUUCUUUAAUUGGAUGGUACGCCAAGAACCUUACCCAGGUUUGACAUCCUUCGAAGGACUAUGAAAAUAGACUGUGCUUUAUUGAACGAAGUGACAGGUGUUGCAUGGCCGUCGUCAGCUCGUGUCGUGAGAUGUUGGGUUAAGUCCCUCAACGAGCGCAACCCUUAUAGUUAGUUGGAUUUUUCUAGCUAGACUGCCUCGGUAACGGGGAGGAAGGAGGGGAUGAUGUCAGGUCCGUAUUACCCUUACACCUGGGGCUAGAAACGCGCUACAAUGGCCGGUACAAUGGGCAGCCAAAUCGCAAGAUGGAGCUAAUCCCACCAAAGCCGGUCUCAAUUCGGAUUGGAGGCUGAAAUUCGCCUCCAUGAAGCUGGAAUCGCUAGUAACCGUGGGUCAGAACACCACGGUGAAUACGUUCCCGGGUCUUGUACUCACCGCCCGUCAAGCCACGGAAGUCCGGGGCACCCGAAGUACGUCUUUUAAGGCGUCCUAAGGUGAAUUGGAUAACUGGGGUUAAGUCGUAACAAGGUAUCCGUAGCGGAAGCUGCGGAUGGAUUACCUCCUUU